rnacentral:rRNA from 1 species
CCGGCGACCGGCGCACGGGCGAGUAACACGUAUGCAACCUGGCCGUGACAGAUGGAUAACCGGGAGAAAUCCCGCCUAAUACAACAUAAUGCCGGGAGGGGACAUCCCCUGCCGGCCAAAGGGGGCGACCCCGGUCACGGAUGGGCAUGCGGCGCAUUAGGUAGUUGGUGGGGCAACGGCCCACCAAGCCGACGAUGCGUAGGGGUCCUGAGAGGAAGGUCCCCCACAUUGGAACUGAGACACGGUCCAAACUCCUACGGGAGGCAGCAG